rnacentral:lncRNA from 1 species
GAAAAGUGGUAUUAUCAUUUUAGAUAAAAAAAUGGAAGCUCAAAAAACUUUCAUGAGUUGCCCUUAAUGAGGAAAAUCUGAAUAUGGAAGUCAAAGAUAAGAACUCUGGUUCUAAAUCCCAUCCUGUUCCUACAUGGAUGAUGCUUCCAGAUAUUAAUGGAGGAAGCUAUCAAUAAAUAGAUGGAAUAUUUUCUUGUGCUUGUUUGUAAUCUGAGGGCCUGACUUCUGUAAUCAGUAUCCAUUGUUUUACAGUGUCCUAUUUAAAUUUUAUUUCAGUGUUAACUUAAUGACUCUUUGUGGGACUAUUGGUUUUGAAAGACCAAUAGCUUUCUUCAUAUCCCUGCAACUGAGGUGAAACACUGAAUAACAGCAAGUAACAGCAAACUCUUUGGUAGCACUUGCCAUGUGGUGUUUUCAUUUCAUGACUCUCUAAGGAUGAUCUAUACCAUUCCCAUUUUACAGAUCAGAAAACCGAGGCACAGAGGACUUGCCCAUGGUACACAGAAGCCAUUACUUCAUAACUUCCCCUUCAGUGCGAUGCUGCUGUUCUUGGUGAUGGCAGGAAACACAAUGGCGGUAUCCACCUACCAGCUGGAUGAGACCGUUUUCCUCUCUGCAUGUCUGUAUGAAGCUUUGUUGAUCGCCCCAGAAGAAUUAUACUGUCUCUUAAAAAUGAUGUUGAAAGAUUUUCUUGCCUAUAGUAUUAACCUGGAAUAA